rnacentral:rRNA from 1 species
UACGUAGGGGGCAAGCGUUGUCCGGACUUACUGGGCGUAAAGCGCGCGCAGGUGGAUGAGUAUGUGCCGUGUGAAAGCGCCGUCCUUACGAUGGCGAGGUCAUGGUAGACAGCUUAUCUCGAGGCUCAGAGAGGUUGAUGGAAUUCCGGGUGGAGCGGUGAAAUGCGUAGAUAUCCGGAGGAACACCAGGGGCGAAGGCGGUCAACUGGCUGAGUUCUGACACUGAGGCGCGACGGCGUGGGGAGCAAAC